AGGACGAACGCUGGCGGCGUGCUUAACACAUGCAAGUGGUGCGACGAACCAGGGCUUGCCCUGGGGCAAAGCCGCGAACGGGUGAGUAACACGUGAGUAACCUGCCCCGAUGACCGGGACAACCCGAGGAAACUCGGGCUAAUACCGGAUGUGGCGCACAGGCAUAAGCCUGUUCGCUAAAGGAAGCUUCGGCCUCCGCAUUGGGAGGGGCUCGCGGCCCAUUAGCUUGUUGGUGGGGUCAAGGCCUACCAAGGCGACGAUGGGUAGCUGGUCUGAGAGGACGAUCAGCCACACUGGGACUGAGACACGGUCCAGACUCCUACGGGAGGCAGCAGUGGGGAAUCUUGCACAAUGGGCGAAAGCCUGAUGCAGCGACGCCGCGUGGGGGAUGAAGCUUUUCGGAGUGUAAACCCCUUUCGAUCCGGACGAAUGCCUCGCAAGAGGAGUGACGGUACGGAUAUAAGAAGCCCCGGCUAACUACGUGCCAGCAGCCGCGGUAAU
rnacentral:rRNA from 1 species